AGAGUUUGAUCAUGGCUCAGGAUGAACGCUGGCGGUAUGCUUAACACAUGCAAGUCGAACGAAGAUAAAAUAGUGCUUGCACAAUUUCAUACUUAGUGGCGGACGGGUGAGUAACACGUAAGGACCUACCUUUUGGCGAGGGACAACCACUGGAAACGGUGGCUAAUACCUCAUAUAACUGAGAAGUGAAAGAUGAAUAAUCACCAAAAGACGGGCUUGCGUCUGAUUAGCUAGUUGGUAAGGUAAUGGCUUACCAAGGCGACGAUCAGUAGCUGGUCUGAGAGGAUGAUCAGCCACACUGGGACUGAGACACGGCCCAGACUCCUACGGGAGGCAGCAGUGAGGAAUUUUCCGCAAUGGGCGAAAGCCUGACGGAGCAAUAUCGCGUGAAGGAUGAAGGCCUAUGGGUUGUAAACUUCUUUUCUCAGAGAAGAAUUUUGACGGUAUCUGAGGAAUAAGCAUCGGCUAACUCUGUGCCAGCAGCCGCGGUAAU
rnacentral:rRNA from 1 species